rnacentral:rRNA from 1 species
UACGUAGGGCGCAAGCGUUGUCCGGAAUUAUUGGGCGUAAAGAGCUCGUAGGCGGUUUGUCGCGUCUGCUGUGAAAACCUCAGGCUCAACCUGGGGCUUGCAGUGGGUACGGGCAGACUAGAGUGCGGUAGGGGUGACUGGAAUUCCUGGUGUAGCGGUGGAAUGCGCAGAUAUCAGGAGGAACACCGGUGGCGAAGGCGGAUCUCUGGGCCGAUACUGACGCUGAGACGCGAAAGCGUGGGGAGCGAACAGG